UACGUAGGGGGCGAGCGUUGUCCGGAAUUACUGGGCGUAAAGCGCGCGUAGGCGGGAAGGGAAGUCGGGCGUGAAAGCCUCCGGCUCAACCGGAGCAGGUCGUUCGAAACUCCCUUUCUUGAGGGUCGAAGAGGAGAGUGGAAUUCCCGGUGUAGCGGUGAAAUGCGUAGAGAUCGGGAGGAACACCCAUGGCGAAGGCAGCUCUCUGGUCGGCCCCUGACGCUGAGGUGCGAAAGCGUGGGGAGCGAACGGG
rnacentral:rRNA from 1 species